GAGUUUGAUCGUGGCUCAGGACGAACGCUGGCGGCGUGCCUAAUACAUGCAAGUCGAACGAGGUUUCCUUAAUGAUAGUUGGUGCUUGCAUCAAUUUGACUUAAGAUCUAACCGAGUGGCGAACUGGUGAGUAACACGUGGGGAACCUGCCCUUAAGUAGGGGAUAACAUUUGGAAACAAAUGCUAAUACCGUAUAACAACAUAAACCACAUGGUUUAUGUUUGAAAGAUGGCUCUGCUAUCGCUUUUGGAUGGACCCGCGGCGUAUUAGCUAGUUGGUGAGAUAAUGGCUCACCAAGGCGAUGAUACGUAGCCGACCUGAGAGGGUAAUCGGCCACAUUGGAACUGAGACACGGUCCAGACUCCUACGGGAGGCAGCAGUGGGGAAUAUUGCACAAUGGGCGGAAGCCUGAUGCAGCGACGCCGCGUGGGGGA
rnacentral:rRNA from 1 species